rnacentral:tRNA from 1 species
AAGGCUAUAGUCAAUAUUUAUGACAUAUGAGUUGCAUUCAUAAAGAGUUUUUUAACUAGCUUUG